GACGAACGCUGGCGGCGUGCUUAACACAUGCAAGUCGAACGGAAAGGCCCUGCUUUUGUGGGGUGCUCGAGUGGCGAACGGGUGAGUAACACGUGAGUAACCUGCCCUUGACUUUGGGAUAACUUCAGGAAACUGGGGCUAAUACCGGAUAGGAUCUCCUGCUGCAUGGUGGGGGUUGGAAAGUUUCGGCGGUUGGGGAUGGACUCGCGGCUUAUCAGCUUGUUGGUGGGGUAGUGGCUUACCAAGGCUUUGACGGGUAGCCGGCCUGAGAGGGUGACCGGCCACAUUGGGACUGAGAUACGGACCAGACUCCUACGGGAGGCAGCAGUGGGGAAUAUUGCACAAUGGGCGGAAGCCUGAUGCAGCAACGCCGCGUGAGGGAUGACGGCCUUCGGGUUGUAAACCGCUUUCGCCUGUGACGAAGCGUGAGUGACGGUAAUGGGUAAAGAAGCACCGGCUAACUACGUG
rnacentral:rRNA from 1 species